AUUAUAGGAAGGAGAUACUGCUCUUAUUGAAGCAGUAAGAGAAGGAAACUGUGAUGUUGUAGAAUUACUGCUGAAGAAAGGAGCUGAUCCUUCAAAUGAUUAUGGAAAUAAUGCUCUUAUUGUAGCAGCAGGGAGAGGACAUUAUGACAUUGUACAGUUGCUAUUAAAUGAUGGAGCUGAUCUAAGCACUGCAAAUGAUGAAGGAGAUACUGCUCUUAUUGCAGCAGCAAGAUGGGGAAAGUGUGAUGUUGUAGAAUUACUGCUGAAGAAAGGAGCUGAUCCCUCACAUUCAAAUGA